rnacentral:rRNA from 1 species
GCUAGUGGUCAUAUUGCUAGUAGUGAAGACAAGGAUGAGCUUGCGUCUGAUUAGUUGGUUGGUGAGGUAAUGGCUUACACAAGACUAUGAUCAGUAGCUGGUUUGAGAGAACGUUCAGCCACAUUGGGAUUGAGAUACGGCCCAAACUUCUUCGGGAGGCAGCAGUGGGGAAUAUUCCGCAAUGGGCGAAAGCCCGACGGUGCGAUACCUUGUGGAGGAUGGAGGAUCAUAAAGGUUCGUAAACUCCUUUUGUUAAAGAAUAAUGCUAAUGUUGAUAUGCGUUGACUGUACUUAAUGGAAGCAAGCAUCGGCUAACUCCGUGCCAGCAGCCGCGGUAAGACGGGGGAUGCAAGCGUUGUCCAGUUGUAUUGGGCGUAAAGCGUUCGUAGGUGGCCCGGUAAGUUUGUUGUUAAAUGUCCAGGCUUAACCUGGAACCGGCAACGAAAACUACCAGACUAGAGAUUGGACGGGGUAAAGGGAAUUUCUAGUGUAGCGGUAAAAUGCGAUAAUAUUAGAAGGAACUCCAGCGGCGAAGGCGCUUUACUAGACCAUAUCUGACAUUCAGGAACGAAAGCUAGGGGAGCAAAAAGGAUUAGGUACCCUUGUAGUCCUAUGCUGUAAACGAUGGGUACUAGACGUCGCAGUGGUGCGGUGUCUCAGCUAACGCGUUAAGUAUCCCGCCUGGGGGAGUACGCUCGCAAGGGUGAAACUCAAAGGAAUUGACGGGACCCCUCGCAAGCGGUGGAGCAUGCUGUUUAAUUCGAUGCAACGCGAAGAACCUUACCUAGAUUUGACCUUCUACAACUUUCUUUGAAAAAAGGAUUUAUCAGUCUUCUUCGGGAGCAGUAGAUACAGGUGGUGCAUGGCUGUCGUCAGUUCGUGUCGUGAGAUGUCAGGUUAAGUCCUAGAAACGAACGUAACCCUUGUUUUUAGUUGAGUAACAAGAGUCUCUCGACUCUUGUCUUCUAGGAAGACGGCCAGCGGGCAAGUUGGAGGAAGGAGAGGAUGACGCCAAGUCAGUAUGCCCCAUAUGUCUAGGGCUACAAGCGUGCUACAAUGGUCAAGACAAAAAGUUACGAGCUUGUGAAAGUAAGUGAAUCUUAAAACUUGGUCUGAAGUUCGGAUUGUAGGCUGCAACUCGGCUACAUGAAGUGGAAUCGCUAGUAAUCGCUGUCAG